UUGAAAGGGAAACGAUUGAAGUCAGUCGUACCGACGAGAAAUCAGCUUAUCGUGUGUUAACUUGUGGGCGUGCGUGAGUUUCGGCCUCGCUGUUUGCAUGUUUGUGCGCUUUGGGUGUACUUUUUCGUAUGGUAGGCCAACAUCAGUUUCGAUUAUUAUAAAAUGACUGGCGGAAUGUAGCUUCGAUUUCGGUUGAAGUGUUAUAGCCUCUGGUAGAUGUGGUAAUUGGGACUGAGGAUUGCAACGAAUAUCCUUUGGGCUAUCCGUCUGGCCUCUGAAAGUUGCUUGGGUGCUGAAAGCUUGCUUAUGGUUAUCUAAGUUAACGGUCAACAGGUUAGAACGUGAUUACAUUCGUUAAGGAUGUUGACGUA
rnacentral:rRNA from 1 species